CAGUUCGGACUGUGGUCUGCAACCCGACCACACGAAGCUGGAAUCGCUAGUAAUCGUGAAUCAGAAUGUCACGGUGAAUACGUUCCCGGGUCUUGUACACACCGCCCGUCACACCAUGGGAGUCAGCAACGCCCGAAGUCAGUGACCUAACCGAGAGGGAGGAGCUGCCGAAGGCGGGGCCGGUAACUGGGGUGAAGUCGUAACAAGGUAGC
rnacentral:rRNA from 1 species